AGACAACAAAAUGUUUAAUAUUAUUAUUUUGUCACCUUAGGUCGAUCGGUAUCUCACAUUCUUAAUUUUUUAAGGACUUUAUUUCCUAAGUUUUUCUAGGUCACACCCAUUACUUUUCCUGGGCCAUUAGCUCAGGUGGUUAGAGCGCACCCCUGAUAAGGGUGAGGUCCCUGGUUCAAGUCCAGGAUGGCCCAUAUCUCUAUGUUGGGGGUAUAGCUCAGUUGGUAGAGCGCCUGCUUUGCAAGCAGGAUGUCAGCGGUUCGAGUCCGCUUACCUCCACUGAUUACCACCUCUUCCAUAAUUUUUAUUAAGGAAAUGUUUUGAGUAGUGAUCAAAUUCUGAACGAAUCUAGCUUCCUAAUGAACUCAUUAAGAUGCUGGACUCAUUGAAUUAUUUUCAUUGUUUUCAGAGAACCUUGACAACUGCAUAGAUUAUUUUAAAGACAAUAAGCAUCUUUAUGAUGCAGAUUUAUUAUUUGUGCGAAUGCAUUAAUAACAAUUCUAUUAAGCUGAUGCUUCAAUUAUGAAGUUAUU
rnacentral:tRNA from 1 species